UACGGAGGAUGCAAGCGUUAUCCGGAUUUAUUGGGCGUAAAGCGUCCGCAGGUGGCUAUACAAGUCUGCUGUUAAAGCGUGGGGCUUAACUCCAUACAGGCAGUGGAAACUGUAAAGCUAGAGUCUGGUAGGGGUCACGGGAAUUCCCAGUGUAGCGGUGAAAUGCGUAGAUAUUGGGAGGAACACCAGUGGCGAAGGCGGCUCACUGGACCGGAACUGACGCUGAGGCGCGAAAGCGUGGGGAGCAAACAGG
rnacentral:rRNA from 1 species